rnacentral:tRNA from 1 species
GCCUCGGUAGCGCAGUAGGCAGCGCGUCAGUCUCAUAAUCUGAAGGUCAUGAGUUCGAUCCUCACCCGGGGCA